rnacentral:pre_miRNA from 1 species
UCUGAAAGAAAUCAUUCAUUUUUACUAUUAAAAAAUUAGUAAGGCUGACAAAAUAACUAGACAAUUACACAUGCCGUGCCAUGUGUACCUCAUUUUGGCAUACAGGAUCAAUUUUGAACGGUAGAAAUGAAUGAAAUUUUUAAUA